rnacentral:rRNA from 1 species
GACAUAGGGGGCAAGCGUUAUCCGGAAUAACUGGGCGUAAAGCGAGUGCAGGCGGUUUUGUAAGUUGAAGGUGAAAGCCCGGGGCUUAACCCCGGAAUUGCCUUCAAAACUACAUUACUAGAGUGUGGGAGAGGAAGAUGGAAUUCCAAGUGUAGCAGUGAAAUGCGUAGAUAUUUGGAGGAACAUCAGCGGCGAAGGCGAUCUUCUGGAACACAACUGACGCUCAGACUCGAAAGCGUGGGGAGCAAAC